rnacentral:rRNA from 1 species
AUUGAACGCUGGCGGCAUGCUUUACACAUGCAAGUCGAACGGCAGCGCGGGCUUCGGCCUGGCGGCGAGUGGCGAACGGGUGAGUAAUGCAUCGGAACGUGCCCAGUAGUGGGGGAUAGCCCGGCGAAAGCCGGAUUAAUACCGCAUACGACCUGAGGGUGCAAGCGGGGGACCGUAAGGCCUCGUGCUAUUUGAGCGGCCGAUGUCGGAUUAGCUAGUUGGUGGGGUAAAGGCUUACCAAGGCGACGAUCCGUAGCUGGUCUGAGAGGACGACCGGCCACACUGGGACUGAGACACGGCCCAGUCUCCUACGGGAGGCAGCAGAGGGGAAUUUUGGACAAUGGGGGCAACCAUGAUCCAGCCAUGCCGCGUGCGGGAAGAAGGCCUUCGGGUUGUAAACCGCUUUUGUUCGGGAAGAAAUCCUCUGGGCUAAUACCCCGGGGGGAUGACGGUACCGGAAGAAUAAGCACCGGCUAACUACGUG